UUCUGAGGCCAGCCUCUCGGGGGGGUGAAGGGUUCCGCGGGGUCCUGCCGUCUGCUUUCCAGCCGGAGAGAAGAGCGCGUCCGGGGGACGAAGACUACCUCCUAGACCUCUCCCUCCUCUUUCUCAUCGCGGUGGGUUGCUGCCUCCGGCUCUUCCCUCUCUGUCUCUCAGCAGUUGUAGGGAGAGAAAGCAACCCCCGGAGGAAGGAUCCAGCCUGGGCUGGUGUUUGUGGAGUGUGUGCGCCUGUCCCAGGAGGCCAGAAGCACAGCUCCUCCGGAACCUCGGAGGCAGCGGCCCCGCCCCUGCUCUGCGGUUGCCAUGGAGACCCACCUAAGCCUCUUUCACUUGCAGCUGUGUUAUCUGUAGAGCCAGCCGGGCUGGCCUGACCCAGAUGCCUGGGAAGACCCAGGUGGUGAAGAGCGCCUGCGUCCCGCCCCCGCCGCGCUUGGGGAGAGAUGCUGCCCUGUGUUUUGAUAGACCGACCUGAGAACCUUGGUGGCAGAAAAAGCUAACUGUCCACCAAAGCUUCAUGCUCCCUUCCCGAGUAUAGACACGUUUCUGGGAAGCAGCUGUCCACACGGGGACUCCGUCGCUCAGCCUCCCCGGCAUCCAGGCAGCAAGGACUCGGGUCCUGGAGCACAGUGGAGCCACAGUUUGGAAGGAGGCAUGGUCUAAAUUAUGUGGAAGACCGUCCACCAGUCACCCCUGCUGAACUCUAACAGUGCAAGAAAUGUGUGGGUCAAGCCAUUUGGGGUUUCUCUGCCACAGCAUUGGCCCAACCCUAACGAGUGGAAAGCCCUGUGAGUAGGGAUCGCUGUGGAAACCUUGGGCCCUUCCCUUGGUUCCUGGAGAUCAAAGCUCUUCCUGACAUGUUCCCUCCAAGGUUUCCUACCCUCAUCCCAGAUAAAUUAAUCACCGCACUCCACAUUGUCUCAUGCCUUGUGCACAAUGCACCCUCUGCCCCAAGGGCACUCCCCGCUGGGGAAGUCUUACUUAUCCCUCGAAAUUUAGCUCCUGAAAUUUAGCUCCCGUGGUCAACCCUAGUAAGUUUUCCUGUCUUCGCCGCUGUUCCCUCCUCUCCACUCCCUGAAGCUCCAAUCUUAGUUCUGUACAUAUAGCUGACCUUCAUUACUCACGGUUUCCAUAUGGGCCAAUGUUCCUACUCGCUAAAAUCUGU